ensembl:processed_transcript Gm15545 predicted gene 15545
GGUCUUGGAUGUUUUCUGGAGGAACUGGGGAGCGUGGGCGCGUUAAGUUAUAGGGAAAACCCCAAUUCCUGAGACGUGGAUGAGGGCGCAUUCUAGUCUGUGAUUCCGAAACCAGCCAUGAUUCGCUGUGAGCUUCCCACCCCUGUGCUGGAAGGCGCCAAGUUCUGAACACCUGUGGCCUCCUCGUGGCCUCCAGGUCCUCUGCGGGAAACACCCAGCGUCCUUUGUCUGACCAACUCCUACACGUCAAUCACCGGCAAUUCGGACGCCACCUCUUCAGGAAAUUUCCCUGAAUCUGCAGAAAGUUACUCCUUCCCUGAGGAUGGAUGUCAGUUGCUGGAUUCGUGAACCUUCCCUUUGCCUUCAGUCCCACCAGUCUAUGGUCCAAACAUAAGAUCCUUUAAACUCCCGUAUGAGCCCUCCAGUGGGAGCUUCCGCAUAAGGUCCCACUGCUUGUUGAUGGCCCAUGAAGGACACUGGUGUUAAGUCCUGCUGCGGUGAGGCAUCAAGGCUCUUGUGAAGAUGCUCUGAUGUUUACUGGAGCCCUGGAACCACACCCAGCAUCAAAACAAAGCAGCGCCAGCGUCUGCCCCCUAUUCCACAACUGUCCUCUCCAUAGCGUGGAGUAGAGGCUGGUCACCUUUUGGUUGAUGACUUCUGCCUCUUCCUCCAGCAAGGCUACCAGCCGCCUUAGCAGGGCUUCCUUCUCCGUGGGUGGGGGUCCCUGGAACUCUGGGGUUGGGGGGCAGAAGAGAAUUGGACUGGGAAGGGCCCUGGCUUUGCUCCUACCAUCACCCCUCACCAGGGCUCCUCUGCUGCUUACCUGAACUGGGCGGGGACUUCAGUUGCUCCUGCACCAAUUGUUCCAGCCGCUGGGCAACCAGGGCAUAGAACUCGGAAGAGGCUGGGCCUGAGCAGAAAGAAGCAGCGAAGCUUUCUGUUUACAGAACACGGUAUUUAUGGCGUCUCUCCUAACCAUCUUGCCACACAGCAACAAUUUCCACUUCACAAAAGGAUACACCUCGGCCAUGAGACGUUGGUAAAUAAAAGAUAUUAAA